rnacentral:rRNA from 1 species
UACAGGGGGGGCAAGCGUUGUUCGGAAUUACUGGGCGUAAAGGGCUCGUAGGCGGCCAACUAAGUCCGACGUGAAAUCCCCAAGCUUAACUUGGGAACUGCGUCGGAUACUGGAUGGCUUGAAUUCGGGAGAGGGAUGCAGAAUUCCAGGUGUAGCGGUGAAAUGCGUAGAUAUCUGGAGGAAUACCGGUGGCGAAGGCGGCAUCCUGGACCGACAUUGACGCUGAGGAGCGAAAGCUAGGGGAGUAAACGGG